AUUCAGCUGACGAGUCUCAAUUAGGACAAAACGUUCGUCUUGGAU
rfam:Schistosoma haematobium scaffold250_4, whole genome shotgun sequence.